UCAUAAGUGUACCGGUGCAUUGGAGCGGCGUAUACGGCCAGCGGUCCUCCUCCUCCGCCUUUUGUUGCAAGCAGCACCCGGCAAGGGACCCACAAGACACAGCCGCAUCCAUGUAAUUUCCACACUGGGCUGGAAAAUGAUCAUCUGUACAAAUACAAUGGAGUACCAACUCAGAAGCCAGUGCCAAAGAGUCCAGAAACAGGUAAUGGUGAACAAGGAGAAGGAGUGCGUGUCUCUGGUGUUGAUGAAGGCCGUGUUGGGCCGGGGGAACGUGGACGCCAUAACGCAGCAGAUGGCCUCGCACCCGCAGUACUUGGAGAGCUUCCUGCGAGCGCAGCACUACAUCCUGCACAUGGACGGACCCCUGCCGCUCCCCUGCCGCCAUUACAUCGCCAUCAUGGCAGCCGCGCGCCACCACUGCAACUAUUUGGUGUACCUGCACUCGGCCCAGUUCCUGAGGCUGGGUGGUGACCCUGUGUGGCUGCAGGGCUUGGAGGCGGCGCCUCCGCGUCUGCGCCUGCUCGACCACAUCAACAAGGUGCUCGCUCACCAGCCCUGGCUCGCCGCCUGCUCGCACAUCAAGACGCUGCUGAAGUGUGGCGAGCAGUGCUGGUCACUGGCCGAGCUGGUUCAGGCCGUGGUGAUUCUGGCCCACUGCCACUCGCUCUGCAGCUUUGUGUUCGGCUCCAACGCCGACUCUGUGCACAUGGUGCCCCAGACCAAGUCUCCCAACGGUACUCCGCCGGCAUUCUGCGCCUUUGAUGCUGCUAAUGGCAACCCCAACGGCCCUCAGUCAUUCGACAACACCGCUGAGCAAAAUACACGAAGACUGUCUGUGGACUCGAGUAGUGACGUGUUGUGUCUGAAGGAGAGGAUCCACCGAUCCCAGGAGGAGCGAGAUAAGCGAGAAGAGCGUCUGCUGCACUCUCAGACACUCCAGCAAGCUGAUGUUGAUGAAGGAGACGAGCUGAUCUACUUUGCGGACCCGUCGCGCUUUGUCACGGACCCCGAUUUUUAUUACCAGGAGUUCGCCCGCAGGGACGAGGACCACUUCCAAGUAUUUCGUGUUCAGGACUACUCGUGGGAGGACCACGGCUUCUCCUUAGUCAACCGCUUGUACUCUGACAUCGGUCACCUUCUGGACGACCGCUUUCGAAGCGUCACCGCCCUCUCGUCUGUGCACAGCCCCGACCUGAAGAGGGCCAUCUGGAACUACAUCCACUGCAUCCUGGGAAUACGUUUGUCUGUGGUGGCAGUUACGACGAUUACGACUACGGGGAAGUGAACCAGCUUCUGGAGCGAGAUUUGAAGCUGUACAUUAAGGCGGUAGCGUGUUUCCCCGACCCCAGCAAAGCACCAACGUGUCCGCUCGGCUGGGCUCCACUUACAACUUCAGAGCGGAUACACGUGAAUUUGCUCAUCAUGGAGGCACGUCUGCAAGCGGAGCUCCUUUACGCCCUGAGAGCCAUCACUCAGUACAUGAUCGCCUGAGAGCCUCCGGCAAGCGCACUCCGAAUUUCUUGUCCCUUCGCCAUCGAGGUACACGAGAGACGUCCACUGACGCCAUGACGAGUUUCCGGCGACAUUAUCAAGAGCGCAGACCUGCUCUUUUUUCAGAUGUAUUCAAACCAGAGCGUGCCACACCCACUCCUCAUCCCCCUCAUUAUGUGCAAUCCCAACAAGACUUACUACACGGACAAAUUUGGGGAUAUUCAGCUUUGGGGUGAAAUUUGAGGAUGAAACUAAAAUGCACUUUAACCUUUACGGGUGAACUCUGUAAGCCUGUGAACGUGCGACUAUUGAAUGUUUCAGUACGUCUUGCACCACUUGCUGUAACCUCCUCCUCUAACGAGGAGCUGAACGAUCUGUCACAGAAGCCGCGCAUGAAGAUGACAAAUUGUAUCUCAACACAGCACACCACACACAUAACGAUUCCGUUGCACUGCAGAUGUCGAAUCCAGUCCUCCGAGACAGAAGGCUCAUGUGAUCUAAUGGUAACAGCCGGGAAACAAAAGAUGCAAUAUAGAAGAGGACACACGAAAGGGGGGAACGAUAGUGGUCUUGGGACUAUUUUAAAUCCUACACUGAAAAAAUCCUGGACACUGCGUGACGCUAAAUGUGAAAUCUGGUCCUCCCUUUCUGAGGUCCACUGGACUUUGCCUUUGGGGUAGGACACGUUUUUUAUUCAUACCCGUUUCCUUGUUCCUCAGUCAGGUCACGUCUUGAUUGGCUACAUUCUGAUUAACGUCACAAUUCACAGAGUCAUAACUGAGGAGUCAUCGGCUUGAUUUGAUUGGGCUGGUUGGUAUCGGCCGAUAUUUAGCAUUUUAUGCUGAGCGGCUUUAAUGUCAUAAUUCUCCGAUCCGACCAAUGACGUCAUUGAUCGACUCCGCUAAAGACAUUUACUCCGCGUCGCCGCAUGCACAGUGUAUUUGAAUCCAAAAGCUAGUUUAUUUUUAGCCUUGUCGCGUGUCUUUUGACGUAGUACUGUAAAUAUCUCAUGGCCAAAAAAAACAACGUAAUGCCCGGAUCAGACUACAAGACAAAUUGCUCUUUCAAGAUUGCACUGUCAGACUACUGCAAUAAAAUCUUGUGCUCCGCAUCCCGUUUUUUACGAUCAUUGGGCUUUAUCUUGUCAACUCAAAUGCGACCGGAUACACUCGUUACCGUGGCGAUGACAAGAAGAGUGGAUCUCGCUGACUGUUUUAUAAAAACAAAAUGGGGGGGGAAACGUGUGUUGGUGGUCACCGGUGCUCAGGACAGGAGAGGACGUUCGUUGAAGGCUUGCUUGAGGUAUGUUCCCGUACUUUUAAUACGAAACGGCUCGCAAGCAGGCAAUCAAAUGUUAUGUAGCCUCGCAAGCUACUGCUAGCACGAACGGUUGGACGUAAACAUGCUGCCGUUCUGUCGAAUCAUGCUCUAAAGUUUCGGUGUGGGUGAAGUAAUUUAAUGACAGUAAGUUAGCGCCCAUUAUUUCUGUCAUGUUGUAAUGUUGGUUUGACCUGACUGAUUAGAAUACACGAUCAGACUAGCGCAGUGAUUUCCAACCUUUAUGGAGCCAAGGAACAUAUUUUACAAUUGAAAAAUCUCACGGCACACCAACAAACAAAAAUGUUACAAAAAGUGGAUACAUUAUUUAGUGUAUUUACUUCCUGCCAUCUAAUAGAAGACCGUUCAUUUGUUCUGUCUGUCACUAUGCCUCACUGGCAUAAAUAGAGGAACAAAGAUACAUUAUUUAUUGUAAAUAGAAUUUUUUUGAGCAAUUAAAUACACAAGUAUAUACAGUAAAUGAACAGGUAAUUUAAAUGGACACAUUCCUCCAUCUUGCGAUCGGUUAUCGUUUUAUUAAACUCGCUGAUCGGUGUUCGGCCCCAAAAAUCCUGAUCGUUUAAAGCCUAUAUUAAAGACGUUUAAUAUUUAAGAUGGGUGGCCCCGACCCGUUUCAGACCCUAUUAUUUGGACAAAUUCAAUCUUAACACACACCAGACCACAGUAUAAUCCUAUAAAACAUAAAAUAAUCUGUUCUUUGUCAUCUUUGGUCGGGACUGGGCAAAAUCGCAACAAAAACAGCCCGAUGAUGUGUGUAUCAGGCCUUAGAGUAUUACAAAGUGUCAUCAGCAGGUUGCAACAAUUGAUGACUAAAGUACAUGAGCUAUUCUACUGCCCACACGGCUCUUCUCACCAAUAAUGUUCCAUUUUUGCUAUUUAAGUGGAGCGUUCAGGGCAAGUUUAAACCGUCACGGUCAUUUUUGAUGCGUCGACUUGGAGAGCCACUCGGAAAUUUGGCCCGUGACAGCUCAUUGGGAGACAUUUCUAAGUCAAACUUGUCAGCCAAUCGAAGACGGGGGUUCCCAGAGUAGCGGAUGAACCGAAAAGGUCGAGGAGAUCCGUUGAAAAAUAAUCACCUUAUAAGUUUUACUCUAAUUUUCACCAGAUUUCCUAUCGGCGAUAUCACACAAAAAUGUUCCGCAAAACGCCGUUUUUUUUUUUUUUUUUUUCACCUGACGCAAUUUCUCCAGAUCCCAUCAUCCAAUUCUCAAAAUUAUUGCUGUGUUGUACUAAGUUUUAAGUGAAACAUUCUGGCAAACACAAAAUGUCACAUUGCUAAUCGAAUUAUUUAAGUUACUUGAUUCAUCGUUGCAGCCCUAGUAAUAAUACAGAGAGACUGGAAGAGGCACAGAAAGGCAUACAAUUCUCAUUGUUGUCAAACAGAAAGUUUUGUACUGAAACUUUGAACAGCGCAUUCAAAAGUUUACAGAAGGUCAAAUUAAGUUCACCGGGGAAGGUUCUCGGCGAUUUAGGCUCAUCCUGAAAUAUAUCCUAAACUUUUUGUGUGUAGUGUACUGUAUGUCAUGAACGCUCACUUUAUGAGUAGUUGUGUAGGUUUUUUUUAUUUUUUCUUCCCCAAAAGUGGACAAGUUGAAUGUUCUCCAAGGACAAUCCUCAUUCAGUGUUGUUUGAUGGACCCCUUUUGCAUCUCCUGAGCUUUUUGUACAGUAGUUUCUUUUUAAAUAAGCACUUAUGGAGAGAGAGAAAAAAAAAAAAAAGUUUAUAUAUAUUUAUAAGAGGAAGCGAGUGGAAAAACACAGACGUGACGCUGGACAUUUUCUUAUCGUCCGUGUCGAGGGCUUGUUAAUCGAAGACCUGCUGAAAAGUUAGUCGUGACUGACUGAAAACACACACAAAAAGAAGUAAUAGUAAGCUUGUCCGUGAACGCUUUGUGGUACAAAAAAAAACAAAUGAAGAAGCUGAGCCAUCGACACGAUGAUUGUCCUUGUUUGCCUUGCUCGUUGAUGUUUUUGUGCUGUAUCGAAACAAAGUCCGUGGUACCGUUUGUGAAGCAGAACAAGGUGCGAAGUUGUUGUUUUUUAUGAUUGUUUGGGAUUUUGACAGGUUUUGUACACGAGAGCUGUUGUUGUUGUUGUUGUGCUAUGAAGGGAUUAGCGUUAGUAUGUUUGAUAUAGGACAGUGGUUCUCAAACUGGAGUCUGAAAAAUAAUUUGCAAUAUAUUAUGUGGUAUCAUUUAAAAAAAGUUUAUUCCUAAAUAUGGGGAUGAAUGCCUGCAUAAAAAAUAGUUCUUUAUCCUGACAGGAUAAGUCUUUGUAAAGAUUCAGUUUUUUUAAAAAUUAACUGAAUUUUCUCAUAACAUUUCAAAUAGUUUCUCUAAUAUAUAUAUAUAUAUAUAUAUAUAUAUUACAACUUGAGCUUGGAAAAAUACCAUUUUAUUCUCACAAGUUUGCCUUUUUAUCCUGACAAAAUGUAUUUUGUUUUUAUAAAGAUGACGACUUUUUUGGGUGGGGAAAUGAAACUAGUCUCAUAACCUUUAACUGUUUUAUUACUCUCAUCUUUCAAAAAUACAAAUAUUGUAAGAUUGACUUUUUUCCAAUUUAAAAAAAAAUAAAUAAAUAAAAAAAAAUAAAAAAUAAAUAAAAAGUUUUGUUCAGAUGACCUUUCACUCAAAAUGUUUUUAAUUUAUUAUCAUAUUACGCAGUUGUUGUUGUUUUUAAAAUAGGCAACUUCUUAAUUCUUAUGGCAUUUAGGAGUACACAAGGUAAUUGUUGAAAUUGUUAGUCCUUGGAAAAUGUACUCUCCUAGAUCCGAACAGUUUGAGAACCUCUGUCAUAGGAAUAGAACCAGAAGUGCUUUUCUCUCCCACAAAUGAUAGCACAGGUGCCUUCAGAACAAAAGUGGAGCGUUUCUGAUGACUACCGUUGGCUGCACGUAGAGCUCGGGCUAAAGGGGAAGAAAAAAAAAAAAAGACUCAAUGUGUCAUUUGUGGCUUUUUUUCCUUCUUCUUCUUCUUGGGUAACAUUUCCCGUUUGGAGAUUACCCCUGCAAAAGCCCCGGGAACUCGGCAAAAAAAUAAAUACAUUUAAAACACGGAUGUUGCAACGAUUCCAACGUGAAAGCUACUGGAAGACGUCAACAACAACUAAGAAAUGAACACUCGGAAAAGCCAACAAGAAAACCAAUUGAAAGGGGAAAAAAAAUGGGAAGUCAUGUUUUCUAUAAAGACGCUUUAAGAAAGAAAA